rnacentral:rRNA from 1 species
AGUGAACGCUGGCGGCGUGCCUAAUACAUGCAAGUCGAACGGAGUGGCGCACGGGUGAGUAAUGUAUAGCUAAUCUGCCCUACACUAGAGGACAACAGUUGGAAACGACUGCUAAUACUCUAUAGUGUAGGAUGAGGCUAUAUUGUAUCAGCUAGUUGGUGAGGUAAUGGCGCACCAAGGCUAUGACGCAUAACUGGUCUGAGAGGAUGAUCAGUCACACUGGAAGUGAGACAGGGUCCAGAAUCCUACGGGAUGGAGCAGUAGGGAAUAGUGCUCAAGGGGGGAAACCGUGAAGCGGCAACGCGGCGUGGAGGAUGACACGUUGCGGAGCGUAAACUCCUUUUGAUAGGGAAGCGGUACCUAAAGAAUAAGCACCGGCUAACUCCGUGCCAGCAGCCGCGGUAAUAC